rnacentral:rRNA from 1 species
UACGUAGGAUGCAAGCGUUAUCCGGAUUUAUUGGGCGUAAAGCGCGCGCAGGCGGUCACGGGCAGUGGUGCGUGGAAUCUCCCGGCUCACCUGGGAGGGGCCGCAUCAUACGACGUGACUUGAGGCAGGUAGAGGAUCGCAGAACGGGCGGAGUAGGGGUGAAAUCCGUAGAGACCGUCCGGAAUACCAGUGGCGAAGGCGGCGAUCUGGACCUGUUCUGACGCUCGGGCGCGAAAGCGUGGGUAGCGAACGGA